rnacentral:rRNA from 1 species
GAUGAACGCUGGCGGCGUGCUUAACACAUGCAAGUCGAGCGAGUGAGUUCUUCGGAACGAUCUAGCGGCGGACGGGUGAGUAACACGUGGGCAACCUGCCUCAUAGAGGGGAAUAGCCUCCCGAAAGGGAGAUUAAUACCGCAUAAAAUUAUCGAGUGGCAUCACAUGAUAAUCAAAGGAGUAAUUCGCUAUGAGAUGGGCCCGCGGCGCAUUAGCUAGUUGGUGAGGUAACGGCUCACCAAGGCGACGAUGCGUAGCCGACCUGGGAGGGUGAUCGGCCACAUUGGGACUGAGACACGGCCCAGACUCCUACGGGAGGCAGCAGUGGGGAAUAUUGCACAAUGGGGGAAACCCUGAUGCAGCAACGCCGCGUGAGUGAUGAAGGUCUUCGGAUUGUAAAGCUCUGUCUUUGGGGACGAUAAUGACGGUACCCAAGGAGGAAGCCACGGCUAACUACGUGCCAGCAGCCGCGGUAA